CAGGAGUAGUGAAAGGAGAUGCACCACCCCUGGCCUUUGGCACUGUGUGUCAGGUUGGGGCCAUAGCCUUACUCUUGGGAGUGGGCAAACCCUAUCAUCAGGCCCCGUGCGGAGGGAGUCAUCUCCUCCACCGCCCAGGACUCUUUACACACGGAAGAAUACCACCUUUUGGCAGAGGCAAGAGCACUUCAUGUUAGUGACGCUUCAUGUGAUGGAGGAUAAAGGGACAACACUCUUCUCUCCUGGCGUCCGGUAAUUUUCAUCAUUUUAGAAUAAAAGGAAGGUGCCGUCAAGACAAACGAGGAGUUAUUCUUAGUUUUGGCAAGUCCUAAAACAGUGAUACGGGGGCUGAAGAGUUCACGUGGAGUAGAAAGUUAUUGCCAAGUGCAGCAAAUAAUAGUAGAGACC
rnacentral:lncRNA from 10 species